rnacentral:rRNA from 1 species
CCUACGGGAGGCAGCAGUGAGGAAUAUUGGUCAAUGGACGAGAGUCUGAACCAGCCAAGUAGCGUGAAGGAUGACUGCCCUACGGGUUGUAAACUUCUUUUAUAUGGGAAUAAAACAGGGUAUGCAUACCCCCUUGUAUGUACCCUAUGAAUAAGGAUCGGCUAACUCCGUGCCAGCAGCCGCGGUAAUACGGAGGAUCCGAGCGUUAUCCGGAUUUAUUGGGUUUAAAGGGAGCGUAGGUGGAUUGUUAAGUCAGUUGUGAAAGGUUGCGGCUCAACCGUAAGAUUGCAGUUGAAACUGGCAGUCUUGAGUACAGUAGAGGUAGGCGGAAUUCGUGGUGUAGCGGUGAAAUGCUUAGAUAUCACGAAGAACUCCGAUUGCGAAGGCAGCUCACUGGACUGCAACUGACGCUGAUGCUCGAAAGUGUGGGUAUCGAACAGGAUUAGAUACCCGUGUAGUC